rnacentral:rRNA from 1 species
UAAGCCAUAAACAUUGACAAGCCAUUAUACAAUGCUUUCCGCCAGAGAACUACAAGUGAAAAACUUGAAACUCAAAGGACUUGGCGGUGUCCCAUAUCGGCCUAGAGGAGCCUGUCCUAUAAUCGAUACCCCCCGUUCCACCUAACCUCUACUAGCCAUUUCAACCUAUAUACCGCCGUCGACAGUCUACCCCAUGAGGGCUUAGUAGUAGACAAAACAGCUUUGCCGCUAGCACGUCAGGUCAAGGUGUAGUUCAUGUUGAGGAAGAGAUUGGCUACAUUUUUUAAUUAUAAAAAAUACGGAAUAUAAAAUGAAACCAUAUAUGAAGGCGAAUUUAGUAGUAAAAUUGAUAAGAGUAUCAAUUUUAACAACGCUCUGGGACG